rnacentral:rRNA from 1 species
AAAGGUAAGCUACUAAGAGCGAAUGGUGGAUGCCUUGACUGGUAAAGGCGAUGAAGGACGUACUAGACUGCGAUAAGCUACGGGGAGCUGUCAAGAAGCUUUGAUCCGUAGAUUUCCGAAUGGGGCAACCCAAUGUAUAGAGAUAUACAUUACCUAUAUAGGAGCGAACGAGGGGAAUUGAAACAUCUUAGUACCCUCAGGAAAAGAAAUCAAUAGAGAUUGCGUCAGUAGCGGCGAGCGAAAGCGCAAGAGGGCAAACCCAGUGCUUGCACUGGGGGUUGUAGGACUGCAAUGUGCAAGAGGUAAGUUUAGCAGAACAUUCUGGAAAGUAUAACCAUAGAGGGUGAUAGUCCCGUAUGCGAAAAACAAACCUUAGCUAGCAGUAUCCUGAGUAGGGCGGGACACGAGGAAUCCUGUCUGAAUCUGGGUCGACCACGAUCCAACCCUAAAUACUAAUACCAGAUCGAUAGUGCACAAGUACCGUGAGGGAAAGGUGAAAAGAACUGAGGUGAUCAGAGUGAAAUAGAACCUGAAACCAUUUGCUUACAAUCAUUCAGAGCCCUAUGUAGCAAUACAGGGUGAUGGACUGCCUUUUGCAUAAUGAGCCUGCGAGUUGUGGUGUCUGGCAAGGUUAAGCAAACGCGAAGCCGUAGCGAAAGCGAGUCUGAAUAGGGCGCUUAGUCAGAUGCUGCAGACCCGAAACGAAGUGAUCUAUCCAUGAGCAAGUUGAAGCUAGUGUAAGAACUAGUGGAGGACUGAACCCAUAGGCGUUGAAAAGCCCCGGGAUGACUUGUGGAUAGGGGUGAAAGGCCAAUCAAACUUCGUGAUAGCUGGUUCUCUCCGAAAUAUAUUUAGGUAUAGCGUUGUGUCGUAAUAUAAGGGGGUAGAGCACUGAAUGGGCUAGGGCAUACACCAAUGUACCAAACCCUAU